GUGGGGAAUAUUGGGCAAUGGGGGAAACCCUGACCCAGCAACGCCGCGUGAAGGACGAAGGCCUUCGGGUUGUAAACUUCUUUGAUCAGGGACGAAACAAAUGACGGUACCUGAGGAACAAGCCACGGCUAACUACGUGCCAGCAGCCGCGGUAAUACGUAGGUGGCAAGCGUUAUCCGGAUUUACUGGGUGUAAAGGGCGUGUAGGCGGUCUUGCAAGUCGGAAGUGAAAUUCCCGGGCUUAACCCGGGCGCUGCUCCCGAAACUGCGAGACUUGAGUACUGGAGAGGAUAGUGGAAUUCCUAGUGUAGCGGUAAAAUGCGUAGAUAUUAGGAGGAACACCAGUGGCGAAGGCGGCUAUCUGGACAGUAACUGACGCUGAGGCGCGAAAGCGUGGGGAGCAAACAGGAUUAGAUACCCUAGUAGUCC
rnacentral:rRNA from 1 species